CGCCGCGCCCUCCCCGCCGCCGCGCAGUGGAACGGCCGGGAGCCGGGGCUGGGGGGCUGGGGAGGACGGCGAGGACCGCCAGGCUCAAACCACCGCCAGGACGCCCCAUGGAGAAGGUUCAAGCACCCGGCGGUCCUGCGGCUGCUUUGGCAGAAGCCAAGCAAUGACGAGGCUCCAGGUGACUCGCCCAGGUGACAGGCAGGUAACAGCUGGGAGGUGUUGGCACCGGGAGGCCCGGCUGCUCCGAAGCCAGCUCAGUGGGGGCAGGAGGUUCCUGCUUUUCGAGAGUGCAGUGGAUCUUCACUUACUCGUGGCCUUUGAAGUACAGGAUCAGAGUUAGGAAGUCCAGUGAGAUGAUUCCCACGUGGGGAGGACAAUCCCUUCGGCAUCGAGCAGCGGUCCCAGAAGCCCCCUUUCCUGGCCUCAGGGCACCAGGACGGGUGCAGGGCACACGGCCAGAGCCAGCAGGAGAAGGGCAUGGAGCCCCAGGAAGGAGGGAAGGAAGAAGGAAAGGA